ACGGAUGCCUUGGCAGCUGAAGGCGAUGAAGGACGCGAAAGCCUGCGAUAAGCUUCGGGGAGCUGGCAAUUAAGCUUCGAUCCGGAGAUUUCCGAAUGGGGAAACCCACCUGUUUACAGGUAUCACACACUGAAUCCAUAGGUGUGUGAGGCGAACGCGGAGAACUGAAACAUCUAAGUACCCGUAGGAAAAGAAAUCAACCGAGAUUCCCUUAGUAGCGGCGAGCGAACGGGGACCAGCCCUUA
rnacentral:rRNA from 1 species